rnacentral:rRNA from 1 species
UACGGAGGGUGCGAGCGUUGUUCGGAAUCACUGGGCGUAAAGCGCAAGUAGGCGGCCUCCUAAGUCUGGUGUGAAAGCCCGGGGCUCACCCCCGGAAGUGCAUUGGAUACUGGGAGUCUGGAGUACCGAAGAGGAGGGUGGAAUUCCUGGUGUAGCGGUGAAAUGCGUAGAUAUCAGGAGGAACACCGGUGGCGAAGGCGGCCCUCUGGUUGGAUACUGACGCUGAGACGCGAAAGCGUGGGGAGCAAACAGG